rnacentral:sRNA from 1 species
AACUCUGGAGGAACGCUGAGCUGAGCAGCACCGAGGACAGCGCCCGGCAGCGCCAGCGCCCAGGUCUCCCUCCGCAGCCCUGACUCGCGCACACGCUGAGCUUUUGCUCACUCCCCCUCGCGCGGACACAGACACACGCAUAUUCACACACCCAGACACACACCCCGCUGUACAAUGGCAGAAUCCCACCUGCAGUCAUCCCUCAUCACAGCCUCACAGUUUUUCGAGAUCUGGCUUCAUUUCGACGCUGACGGAACGGUAAUGGGAGGAGAGAGAGAGCAGGGAUUGGGGGACACUGCCCCCCCAAAGUUUCUGUGGCUGCGCUUAGCACCCCAACCAUCCUCCUUUGUCCUCAGUGGAUCUAAAGUUUGAUACCCCAGGAGGGGAGCGCUGCCGCGUCUGCACGCUUUGCUGGUUAAUCAAUGUCCAGGCAAGAGAGAGCCUCUCGGGUCGCCAGAAAGAUAACUGUCUUGGAAAGUGAACGGGAAAGACACUUGGAAUGAGAUAUCUGACACCUGGGUGCCUCUUUGUCUUUGCAGGAAGUGGUUACCUGGAAGGAAAGGAGCUGCAGAACUUGAUCCAGGAGCUCCAGCAGGCGCGAAAGAAGGCUGGAUUGGAGUUAUCACCUGAAAUGAAAACUUUUGUGGAUCAGUAUGGGCAAAGAGAUGAUGGAAAAAUAGGAAUUGUAGAGUUGGCUCACGUAUUACCCACAGAAGAGAAUUUCCUGCUGCUCUUCCGAUGCCAGCAGCUGAAGUCCUGUGAGGAAUUCAUGAAGACAUGGAGAAAAUAUGAUACUGACCACAGUGGCUUCAUAGAAACUGAGGAG